rnacentral:lncRNA from 1 species
UUAGUAACAUUUGGUAAAAAUUAAUCUUUAAUUUGCCAUAUUCCUUUUAAUUAAUGUUAUGUUUAAUGAUUUAUUUUUAAUAUUUAAUAUUUAAUGAUAUUCACAUGGCAAUUUUCGAAGGUGCUACAUGGCAGGCAUAGGGAACAAUUAGCCUGCUAUCCCUUGUUUUACCAAUGCAAUAGCCUAAAAAGAACAGGUUAAAAUUCAACAAAUAAAUUAAAAUCACCUUCAGCAUACAAUUAACAACCCGUAGUAUGGUAGACCUAAAAUUCAGAAGCCACAAGCUAUUAUCCAUACUCACUAUCCAAUCCACCCACAGCAUAUCGAUGUACCACACCCACCGAAACACCAUUUCAUCGUCGGAAUUGUCGAGAAACAGAGCAGAAAAGCAUGACGAAAGCCGAUUCAUGAUACGAAAGUCAAUUCAACACUCUUCCAAUCACAACAAGACAUGCACUACAACAGUUAACCAAAAAAAUAAUAGAAAUUGAGAACUCUCAGUCUGACAGAAGCAGCCAUGGAGAAACAACCAUGCGAGGAGGACAUGCGACAGUUCUUGACUCGUCAACAGCCUGCGAAAAUGAGGAUUACUGGAUGUGACAGUAUAGUUUGGAGAUGCCCCCACAAUGAGGAGUCCUCGCCAGAAGCAAAGCACGUGCACAAAUCGAGUUUCUUAGGCAAACACAUGUAUAACAGCUCAAAAUUCACAACCUGUAUUUUAGUAGACUCAAAAUACCCAUACCAUUAUCCCAUCCACUCGCGAUGCAACACACCC